UCUACGUUGAAUAAUAAUACGCUGAGAACAUUGGCGGUGACCCUGUUAAGCAACUUGAUAUGUUUUUUCCGCUUAUUCACAGUUGGAACAAACAGGUUCCUUAACGAAUGCCUACUGACUCGUUAAACAAAUAUAUCAAUCAGUAGACAGACGUACGUGGUUGAGAUUAUACGUACAUUUUAAAUUCAACAAUGAAGACUGUAUCAAUUAUUUGCAUUGUUUUUGCGUCAUGUAUUUAUGUGAGCUAUUGUAAGGACCUUAUUGUGGGAACUAGUUUCAAUAACAGAAUUAUAUGGCAAGAAAAGGUGGAAUACAAUUCUAUUCCUCUAAAAAAGAGGGUGAAGGAAGUUUUCUUUGCUGAUCCAGGUCAACAGAUUAUAAAGGGAAUAAUAGCGAGGGACUUGGAUCACACAGACGCAACUGCGACGAUCACAUCGGGAGGAGUCGGUCA